CCUACGGGAGGCUGCAGUGAGGAAUAUUGGUCAAUGGACGAGAGUCUGAACCAGCCAAGUAGCGUGAAGGAUGACUGCCCUAUGGGUUGUAAACUUCUUUUAUACGGGAAUAAAACGUUCCACGUGUGGGAUUUUGUAUGUACCAUAUGAAUAAGGAUCGGCUAACUCCGUGCCAGCAGCCGCGGUAAUACGGAGGAUCCGAGCGUUAUCCGGAUUUAUUGGGUUUAAAGGGAGCGUAGGUGGAUUGUUAAGUCAGUUGUGAAAGUUUGCGGCUCAACCGUAAAAUUGCAGUUGAAACUGGCAGUCUUGAGUACAGUAGAGGUGGGCGGAAUUCGUGGUGUAGCGGUGAAAUGCUUAGAUAUCACGAAGAACUCCGAUUGCGAAGGCAGUUCACUGGACUGCAACUGACACUGAGGCUCGAAAGUGUGGGUAUCAAACAGGAUUAGAUACCCUAGUAGUC
rnacentral:rRNA from 1 species